GUGCAUUCAAACUCACACAUGAAGAUAAUUGGAAUUGAGAAGGAAGGACGACGAGCAGUUUGAUAGCAUCAUAAUUCGCACAAUGAUUUCCGGAGCAUAAGGACAAGAGGGUAAAGCAGUUCUAAGGUUGGUCUUUGAUCCGCAGGGAAGUCAGUGGAGGAAGAGAUGGUAUACAUGUAAGGGUUAGUGACUGUUUUCAAAUAUGAUGAAGAGAUUUCCUCUGUAUAUUAAAUAUUGUUGUUUCGUUAUAUGUUUUAUGUUUGCAAGAAGAAGAUGUUUGGCUGGAUUAUGUGUACCUGAGGAGAACAUGUGAAAGCCAAUGUUUGCUUUUUUGUUUGUUUGCUCUUUCAAAUAACCGUAUUCUUUCAAUUAAUAUUUGACUUUCA
rnacentral:lncRNA from 1 species